AACGAACGCUGGCGGCGCGCCUAACACAUGCAAGUCGAACGAGAAGCUGUAGCAAUACAGUUGUACAGUGGCGAACGGGUGAGGAAUACAUGGGUGACCUACCCUCGAGUGGGGAAUAACCAGCCGAAAGGUUGGCUAAUACCGCGUACGUUUCCCAGUCUGCGGAUUGGGAAGGAAAGCGAUGCCGUGGGUAUCGCGCUCAAGGUUGGGCUCAUGUCCUAUCAGCUUGNGGUGAGGUAACGGCUCACCAAGGCAACGACGGGUAGCUGGUCUGAGAGGACGAUCAGCCACACUGGCACUGCGACACGGGCCAGACUCCUACGGGAGGCAGCAGUGAGGAAUAUUGCGCAA
rnacentral:rRNA from 1 species